GUCAGGAUAGCUCAGUUGGUAGAGCAGAGGACUGAAAAGCCUCGUGUCACCAGUUCAAAU
rnacentral:tRNA from 1 species